rnacentral:rRNA from 1 species
AUUGAACGCUAGCGGCAGGCCUAACACAUGCAAGUCGAGCGAGCGGCGGGCGGGUGCGUAAUGUAUGGGGACUGCCCGAAAGCGGGGGAUAACUACUGGAAAAGGUGGCUAAUACCGCAUACUGUCGGAUAACCCAUAUGGUAUUAGCUAGUCGGUCAGGUAAUGGCUUACCUGGGCGACGAUCACUAGCUGGUCUGCGAGGAUGAUCAGCCACAUUGGGACGGAGACACGGCCCAGACUCCUACGGAGGCAGCAGUGGGGAAUAUUGCGCAAUGGUCGCAAGCCUGAUGCAGCCAUGCCGCGUGUAUGAAGAGGGCUUUAGGGUCGUAAAGUACUUUCAGUCGGGAGGCGUUACCUACAGAAGAAGCACCGGCUAACUACGUGCCAGCAGCCGCGGUAAUUC